ACGCUCGACACCUACGGGUGGCAGCAGUGGGGAAUAUUGCACAAUGGGGGAAACCCUGAUGCAGCGACGCCGCGUGAGUGAGGAAGUAUUUCGGUAUGUAAAACUCUAUCAGCAGGGAAGAGAAUGACGGUACCUGACUAAGAAGCCCCGGCUAACUACGUGUCAGCAGCCGCGGUAAUCUGGAGGCGGGCUGGACAAGGC
rnacentral:rRNA from 1 species